GACGAACGCUGGCGGCGCGCCUAACACAUGCAAGUCGAGCGGAGAUAUACGAAGAGUAAUCCGAGUAUAUCUUAGCGGCGGACGGGUGAGUAACGCGUGAGUGACCUGCCUCUUACAGGGGAAUAACGUGCCGAAAGGCACACUAAUACCGCAUAAGACCACGAAACCGCAUGGUUAUGAGGUCAAAGGAGCAAUCCGGUAAGAGAUGGGCUCGCGUCCGAUUAGAUAGUUGGUGAGGUAACGGCCCACCAAGUCGACGAUCGGUAGCCGACCUGAGAGGGUGAUCGGCCACAUUGGAACUGAGAGACGGUCCAAACUCCUACGGGAGGCAGCAGUGGGGAAUAUUGGGCAAUGGGGGAAACCCUGACCCAGCGACGCCGCGUGAGGGAAGAAGGUUUUCGAUUGUAAACCUCUGUUCUUGGUGAAGAGGGGAAGACGGUAGCCAAGGAGGAAGCCCCGGCUAACUACGUG
rnacentral:rRNA from 1 species